AGCGAACGCUGGCGGCAGGCUUAACACAUGCAAGUCGAGCGGGCAUCCUUGUGGUGUCCGCGGCAGACGGGUGAGUAACGCGUGGGAACGAGCCCUUCGGUUCGGAAUAACUCAGGGAAACUUGAGCUAAUACCGGAUACGUGCGAGAGCAGAAAGGAUUAUCUGACGAAGGAUCGGCCCGCGUCUGAUUAGUUAGUUGGUGAGGUUACGGCUCACCAAGGCGACGAUCAGUAGCUGGUCUGAGAGGAUGAUCAGCCACACUGGGGCUGGGACACGGCCCAGACUCCUACGGGAGGCAGCAGUGGGGAAUAUUGGACAAUGGGGGCAACCCUGAACCAGCCAGGCCGCGUGAGUGAUGACGGCCUUAGGGUUGUAAAGCUCUUUUCUCCGGGACGAUAAUGACGGUACCGGAGGAAUAAGCCCCGGCUAACUUCGUG
rnacentral:rRNA from 1 species